rnacentral:lncRNA from 1 species
UUGGUAGUCUGUUAACUUUGAUAUCUCCUGAGAAUUCUUUGAGUAGGUGUUGUAUAUUUUAGAACAUCAUCCAGAUGGAUUUGUAAAGGUUAGGUAUUGAUAUCUCUCCUUGCAAUUCUCUGUUUUACCCCCAUUGGCCAGACAGUCAAACCUCUGCUUGUGUCCUCAUGUCUUCCAACAUGAGAAUCUUGGUUACUGGAGGAGCUGGAUUCAUUGGUUCUCACUUGAUUGACAGAUUAAUGGAAAAUGAAAAGAAUGAGUAUUAG